GGUGGCCCAGGCCGAGCCUAUAAAGGCCCGGCCCGCGGGCUUGGUGCCAGUGGCACCAUGGCAGCUGCGAGGGACACGGCGCUGCUGGCCUGCAUCCUCUUCCUCGGGGGCACGGCGCUGGUGGCCACAGAACAACCAGAAGCAGAGACCAAAUACGGCAGAGUCCGAGGGUUCCAAUUCAGAGUGGACACGGCUGAGAGGACUGUAAAUGUCUUUUUGGGACUUCCUUUUGCCAAGCCUCCAGUUGGAUCUCGGAGGUUUUCUGAACCCCAGCCACCUGAGCCGUGGGAAGGUGUCAGAGAUGCCACUUCCUACCCACCAAUGUGUCUACAGGACCCAGUACAAGGACAAUUUAUUUCAAAUAUGGUUACCAACAGAAAAGAGAAAGUUGCUCUGCAAGUGUCCGAGGAUUGCCUGUAUCUAAAUGUGUACACACCUGUUUCUACAGGAAAAAAGGAGAAGCUGCCUGUCCUAGUGUGGAUCCAUGGAGGUGGAUUAGUUUUUGGAGCAGCUUCAUCAUACGAUGGCUCAGCAUUAGCAGCCUUUGACAACGUGGUGGUUGUAACAAUUCAGUACAGACUGGGUAUUGCUGGAUAUUUUAGCACUGGUGAUGAGCAUGCCCGAGGUAACUGGGGCUAUUUAGACCAAGUGGCGGCUCUUCGGUGGAUUCAGGAAAAUAUCAUGCAUUUUGGAGGAGAUCCAGGAUCUGUCACUAUCUUUGGAGAAUCUGCAGGAGGAAUCAGUGUUUCUGCUCUUGUCUUAUCUCCCCUGGCCAAGGGCUUGUUCCACAAGGCCAUUUCAGAGAGUGGCACUGCAGCCCUGGGCUUGUUCACUGACCACCCUAAGGAGGAUGCACAAAAAAUUGCUGCUGUCUCUGGCUGUGAAAAAUCCAGUUCAGCUGCAAUGGUUGAAUGCUUGAGAGGAAAAACAGAAGAAGAACUACUACAGAUAACACAGAAAACGGGUCUCUCUUUCAUCAGUGCAUGUGUAGAUGGUGUAUUUUUUCCAAAAAAUCCCAGGAAAUUACUCUCUGAAAAAUCCAUCAAUGCGGUCCCAUACAUCAUAGGAGUAACUAACUGUGAAUUUGGAUGGGUAAUGCCUAGGGCAAAGAAAUAUCCUCCUUUUGUGGAUGGUCUGGAUAAAGAUGUUGCACGUCAAAUUUUACAGAGCAACUUACCAUUACUCAUUAAGGGCCUUACAUCUGAAGUUGUUGACAGAGUGUACCAGGAGUACAUGGGGGAGGCAGAAAGCCCUGCUCAGGUCCGAGAUGGCCUCCUGGAUGCAAUGGGAGAUGUCUACUUUGUCACCUCAUCUGUGGAAGUGGCCAGAUACCACAGAGAUGCUGGCAACCCAGUCUACUUUUAUGAAUUCCAACACCGGCCGAGUUCAGCGGAAGGUUUGGUACCAGAGUUUGUAAAAGCAGAUCAUGGAGCUGAGAUUGCCUUUGUCUUUGGAAAGCCAUUCUUAGCUGGAGGUGCUACAAAAGAAGAAAAUGAACUUAGCAGAACUGUCAUGAGAUACUGGACCAACUUUGCUAAAAAUGGAAAUCCCAAUGGAGAGGGCUUGGUCCAUUGGCCUCAGUAUGACCUGGAGGAAAAAUACCUGGCAAUAGACCUGGAGCAAAAGGCAGCACAGAAACUGAAAGAACGCAGAGUCGAGUUUUGGGCACAGCUCAUGAAACAAAAUCACACUGGAAGGAGAAAACACACAGAUUUAUAAGAGCUAUGGAAGGCACACUUUGCUUUUAAAACCAAAAGGAAAGUCAAACAAAAUGAGUUUGUCAGCAUAGAGAGUAAUAAUCACCUUCUAACUCACUGUUGUGUAAUCUGCUGUCCGAAUCACAGUGAAGUGAGAGAAACAAGGGCCAUUCAGAAUGUUUGUCAGACUGAAAAUCACUAUUUAAUGAAGCAGGCAGAAAAAAUCCCCACAAUCUUUCCAGGUCCAGACAGACCAUGGUACCUCCUCAGUGCAUACCAAAACUGAAUACUGAGGUGGGAAUGGGCAAAUGAACUGAAACCUGUAAGAAAUGAUCAAUACUGAAUGUACCAUAGGUGUCAGACUAUUUUAUAUGCUAGUUCCCUUCUUCUUUCAGAAGAGCAUGGUCAGUUGUCCUUCCUAGAGACUCCUUCUGCUUUCUUUAACUGGAAAUCACUUGUAGGCAGCAGAGCAUCCAUCAAACUACAUCUCUGAUGUGGGCUUGACAUCUCACAAAAGAGGACAGAAAAUCUCUAUCUGUUUUAUUGCUUUGUGAAUUGUUAUAAAUAAACAUUGCUUUGAUUUUUUGGAA